UGAAUUACUGCAAGGUUGUUGAUCCGACAGCUGUCCCGCGUAUUUUGCGAUGGAGAACUACUACGUCUGUUCCCGAGAUGAGAAAGUUAAACAAUUAUUUUUUCCAGAGCAAAGAGUCAGUUCAGUUGCGGGCGCUAUGUCCGAGUGAAGAGGAAAUGAGACAACCAUAUUGGAGUUGGCCACAGGAUCGCCCUGCUGUUG